rnacentral:rRNA from 1 species
UUGCGGUUAAAAAGCUCGUAGUUGGAUUUCUGUUGAGGAUGACCGGUCCGCUCUUUGAGCGCGUAUCUGGUUCAGCCUUGGCAUCCUCUUGGGGAACGCUACUGAGCUUGAUUGCAUGGGGCGGUAUUCAAGACUUUUACUUUGAGGAAAUUAGAGUGUUCACUGCAAGCGUUAGCAAUUGAAUACAUUAGCAUGGAAUAAUAAUAUAGGACCUUGGUAGUAUUUUGUUGGUUUCUAGAACUAAGGUAAUGAUUAAUAGGGACAAUUGGGGGCAUUCGUAUUAACGCGUCAGAGGUGGAAUUCUUAGAUUGCGUUACGACGAACUACUGCGAAAGCAUUUGCCAAGGAUGUUUUCAUUGAUCAAGAACGAAAGUAUGGGGAUCGAAGACGCUUAGAUACCGUCGUAGUCUAUACCAUAAACUAUGCCAACUAGAGAUUGGAGGUCGUUCUCUUUAUGACUCCUUCAGCACCUUAUGAGAAAUCAAAGUCUUUGGGUUCCGGGGGGAGUAUGGUCGCAAGGCUGAAAACUUAAAGGAAUUGACGGAAGGGCACCACCAGGAGUGGAGCCUGCGGCUUAAUUUGACUCAACACGGGAAAACUUACCAGGUCCAGACAUAGUAAGGAUUGACAGAUUGAUAGCUC